rnacentral:rRNA from 1 species
AGAGUUUGAUCCUGGCUCAGGAUGAACGCUGGCUGUGUGCCUAAUACAUGCAUGUCGAGCGAGGUUCUUUUGAACCUAGCGGCGAAUGGGUGAGUAACACGUGCUUAAUCUACCCUUUAGAUUGGAAUACCCAAUGGAAACAUUGGCUAAUGCCGGAUACGCAUGGAAUCGCAUGAUUCCGUUGUGAAAGGAGCCUUUAAAGCUCCGCUAGAGGAUGAGGGUGCGGAACAUUAGUUAGUUGGUAGGGUAAUGGCCUACCAAGACUAUGAUGUUUAGCCGGGUCGAGAGACUGAACGGCCACAUUGGGACUGAGAUACGGCCCAAACUCCUACGGGAGGCAGCAGUAGGGAAUAUUCCACAAUGAGCGAAAGCUUGAUGGAGCGACACAGCGUGCACGAUGAAGGUCUUCGGAUUGUAAAGUGCUGUUAUAGGGAAAGAACACCUGGUUGAGGAAAUGCUUCCAGGCUGACGGUACCCUGUCAGAAAGCGAUGGCUAACUAUGUGCCAGCAGCCGCGGUAAUACAUAGGUCGCAAGCGUUAUCCGGAAUUAUUGGGCGUAAAGCGUUCGUAGGCUGUUUAUUAAGUCUGGAGUCAAAUCCCAGGGCUCAACCCUGGCUCGCUUUGGAUACUGGUAAACUAGAGUUAGAUAGAGGUAAGCGGAAUUCCAUGUGAAGCGGUGAAAUGCGUAGAUAUAUGGAAGAACACCAAAGGCGAAGGCAGCUUACUGGGUCUAUACUGACGCUGAGGGACGAAAGCGUGGGGAGCAAACAGGAUUAGAUACCCUGGUAGUCCACGCCGUAAACGAUGAUCAUUAGUCGGUGGAGAGUUCACUGACGCAGCUAACGCAUUAAAUGAUCCGCCUGAGUAGUAUGCUCGCAA